rnacentral:sRNA from 1 species
CACACAUACAUAUGCAUGUGACCCAAGCUGUAGAAACAGGUGAAAUAAUGAGGGAAUAUGUAUUGAUGACUUGGAUUCUGCCUUGUCAAGGACCAUAGGUGCCUCAGACCAAUGGUCUUCUUCAUCCCUCUGAGAUUUAGAGGGGUGACAAAACCUUCCUCUGCUCCCAGUAUGAGUAUUUAUGAUCAAACUUCCUCCUCUCAGAUAACUACAGCCUGAGACAGAUUCCCCUACUAAGUCCUACCAAGACUAGCUAGCUGCUCCUCCUGCUAAACACACUGAUAGUCCAGGGUUUUGUGUAGCUGGUGCUGGUAAGUAUGGCCUUCCUGAUCCCCACUUCUCUAUAUAUGUGUCUGUCCUUUCUUCAUUUUCUUGUCCUUCCAGUCAGGUUGCCAGGACUGAGCUAUUGAGGCCACAGUGCCCAGGGAGACCCACUUAGGCUGAAUCUGCCCAAGGAGCAAGGGUUGCCAGGCAGCAGGACCAGGAUGACAUUCUGCUCGGUGUGAGGCAAGACCAUGGUGUAAGAAUGGUAGUCAGGCCAGGAGUAUGAACUGUGGAGAGGUGGCCAAGAUGCCUACAUAGGGGUCAGCAGCAGACUCGAACUUCUCUGGUAAAGUCUCUAGACUCCCAAGAGAAGAACCCUGCUGGACACAAGCAGGAAACUAGGUCCCCCGAAGGAGAACAGGAAUAUGGCAAAAAGGCUUGGAUUCCAGAUUCAAGAACCAUUUACAGUGAGACCUAGUGAUAGCCAUCAAUAGUCUGGGUGAGGUGAAAGAGGGCAGGACCCCAGCAUUCUGUGCUGUCUCACAUACCAGGAGGAAGGAGGCCUAGAGUCCUGAAAUCUGGGAAGAGCUGUCCAGCUGCUCACCCUGAGCUGAGGUCCACAGAUGGCUUUGGUCAAGAUUGUCCUCCUCUGAGCAAAGACCAAAGAUGUGCUAACACUGCAAGUUCCUGCCCACUACCCAAGUGUGUGUGCCAUUCACCACAGCCUAUGCAGAGAAAGGCUGGAAGAGGUCUGUGUUCAAUGUGAUUGCAGUACCUUCAAAGUGCCUGUAAGCCACGGGUGAGUAGGCAAACUUCCUCGGGUGUCAGGUUCCACAUCUACUGAUGGCAAAGACAGAUGCCUGUGGCUCUUAUGGAGGUUCUGUGAGACAAACUUCAUAAAGCGAGUGCUUAGCACCACUGUGGUGACGUCAACACAGCUAAGUAUGGUUAUUACCACUGUGGAUAUAGCUAAGCAUUGUCUUCUACGGCCCUCUCCCCUCUAGCUCCUGUAGCUGAAGUACACUGCAGAUAGAGUUCUGCUCUAUGGCCAGGCUGCGGAAAGGUGGCCUUGACGGGUAGCUCUCAGAAGCAUGAUGGAAGUCAGCAGUGAGCAUCUCCUUCGUGGCACACUGGCAGGAGCCGUAGCACCAGGACGACGUUUGGUAUGCCAGGCACAUCCUGUGCCUCACACAUCCAGGGACUGCAAUCAGGUAGCUGAUGAGAAUUCAAGUCACAUCGCCUGGACCAUUGCCGCAGUGAACUGAUUCAUGCUGCUACUUCGAGGUGGGAGAAGGGACAGUGGGGCCCAGAGACAAACCAGCCUGGCUCUAUUAUACAGCUGCUGUUCUCAAGCUGAAACGUUCCGUCCUUUCCCACUCCCUGUCUUGCUGCUGAGCUGGCUACCUGUGAAGCCUGAAGAUUCCAGCCCCAGGUUCUGACUGAACAAUGGUAUUAUGUGAUGUAUAAAGAGUACCCAGGCAACGGAGACAGGCAUGGCUUCAUUCACUCAGUGCCCAGUGGCUUUUGAACGCUCCAGCAUUCAGCCUUUAUCCUGAGCAGCUCUGGGCCUCUCCCCUCCCAUUUAUUGCUCAGCUGUCCUCAUCAUAAUCUUUCCCCUGUCUGCAAGAGAGCCAUGAAUGAGGGAAGGAAAGGGGGGAGACAAAGAUACUCUGGUAACCAGAAAGACUCCUGAUUGUGGGUGAAGAGAUCUGAGGUUUGGUCUCUGGUGCCAUCACUCAUGAGGGAACCUUGAGUGCAUCUCUAGUCAGCUCCAGGUUCCCUUCCCGAUCUAAGUCUCUGGUAAGAGAAUCAGGAAGAAAGUCCAACGGGAGCUUUGCCAACUCUGACAUUCUAUCAUGUGGUUGUGACAAGUCCCCAGGACCACUGAGGAAUGGAGAGAGCUAACCAACGGGGACAAAGUACCAGAAACACCUAUUGUGACUCAUCUGUGAUGGUGACUAACAAGACCAAGGUCCACAGAUGAGGAAGUUAUGCCUGUGAGAGAGGUCAAGUUGCCCAAGCAUGACCCAGUCUGACCUGGCUUGUGUUGCUGACCAUCAGGAACCCCUCACCAAGCAUCAACACAGAUAUCCAGAGGCCCAGGGCUAGUGGUGGGAGCUGAGCCUCAAAGGCUCUUGAUUCUGUGAACUCCUGAAUGCAGUGAAGUGAAGCACCUGCUCAGGUGAGUCAUCCAUGGUUCAGAGUGGCAUAGAAUGAUGUGAGGUGGAAUGUGGAGAGAUCAUUCACUGGAUAACGUAAAAAUCGUGGGGACUAGAAUCAGACAGCAUACCAAAGAGGGUUCAGGAUCCUUGGCUAUCCAAUGGACACCAAAGGGCUCUGAGGCCCAGCCUGGAACUCAGGGGUAUCAAAGCACAACUGGUGCUUGAGGUCAGAGAUGUUCCAAAAGUACCACAGCUGCACUAUCAGAUGUUUGGGGCAUUCCUGAGGAGGGCCAGGAAUCGGGAAUCUUCUCUCUUCCUUCCUGUGCUCAAUCUGAGUCCUCAGAGUUAAGGGUGAAACAUUACAUCAGCCUGUAGAAAGCUCAGGGUCUGAGUUAAGGAGAAACUCCACAAAGAGAUGGUACAAUAACUCUUACUUAUCAACAGAAGUGAGAUCAUAAAGCAGGUGCCAUAACUGAGAAACCAGACAGACGUUUCCAGAAACCAAGAGUCACAGGCCCUCAGUCAUUUAACAGACAACACAAAGAUAUGACUGGUACUCAUGUUUCCACAUAAUGUGUCAUUGCAAGAGUGAAUUACUAAGGGGGCAGUUUUGUGAAGCAAAAGAUAUGGCCAUGUUAAGUAUACACUGUGGUAAGAGUCAGCCUGGCUUCAGAAAUGUGCAUUAUACUAUAAAAUAAUAGAACUUCAUGUCCAGGUCAAAAGUACAAAGGAGGCAGCAAAGAGCCAGCCCUCAAAGCUGCCUUGAGAAUCAUUCAUUCAUUCAUUCAUUCAACAAGUAUUUCUCAAGAUCCCAGUGCUGGAAACUGACAACCCAUUGCUUCAGUAAACUAAACAAAGAAAGGGACAGUGUCUCCAGGCGAGGGACAAGUCUGUGCCACAGCCCUGAGAUGGGAGAGUCAGAGCCUGCUUGAGACAGAUAAGGCUAGGUCAGUAACUGUGGCUAGAGCCAGGUGAGGCAGCACAGCAGGAAUUUGGCCCAGCCCAACUGUGUUGUCCCCUGCCAGAGGAUUUAGUUUUAAUCUCAACACCAUUGGGAGAGUAUAGAAUUUGGUUUGUGCAUGGACAUAGCAUCUGCCUGUGGAACUGUAGGAUCAGCUGGGUGCUAGGUUGAGAAAAAGCCGCAAGGGUCAAGAGAGCCUGGGAAGCUAAAAACAAGGUUUUGCAGUAACAUUAACUGGAGUAGAGAGCAGAGUACAUGGAUUUAUGGUUUGGAGAGAAUGCAGAGCACUUUGUAAGUGUUUGGGUAAGGGCAAAGAGAAGCUUGUGUACUUUCUUUCAUGGAAGGUGGGGUUAUGUUUGCUACAGAGACAAUAUAUACAUGCUUUCCCCCCCUCUGAAGGGAGCAAGGAAAGCAGUUACACCUGUGAGGGACUCUGAGCUGGCUCAGUGGGUAAAGUGCUGGCCUUGCAAGGACCUGACUUCAACCCCAGCAAACAAGUAAAAGCCAGGUGUGGAUGUAUCCAUGUAUAACCCUGGUGUUGGGCACAGGAGCAGAGGUAGAAGAACCCUAGGGGAUUGGUUUAGUGAGAGACCAUGCCUCAGAAUUAAGGCAGAAGAUAAAUGAGGAAGACCUCUGAUGUGGACCUCCUGCCUCCACAAAUACACACAAGGGCUCGUACACCUACACAUGUGUGAAUUUAACACACACACACACACACACACACACACACACAAAUAAAUAAAUAUUCAAAAGGAAUAAAUUAUUAUAAGUCUGUGUCAGAGGAAGUCUCCAGAGAGCCAUGACAGCAGUUUCUAUGUCUGUCUUCUAUUGGGUAAGAACCAUCAUCGAUGAUCUUGGAGAAACAUACAAAAGAAAUGCUGUCCCCAUGCAGAGGGCGAAGGCAGUACUGGUAGGUGUACAGUUCUGGAAGGCUCCAUGGACUUGACAAAGUGCUCUCCUAGAUCAAGAAGGACAAGCAGAAUCUUAAGAGAGCUGACUGGACAGGUGGGAAGAGUGUGCUCCAACAGAGGCUGCAGAGGAGAGCAUUGUUCUGGAGAAACACUGAGCUUGAGGACACAGCAGCCCUCUGAUCAAAGACUCUCAAGAAGACCGAACUGAACUGAGCUGAAGGCAUGACCUUCCCAUGUCUAAGAGAAAGCAAAAAUAGUUGAAUCCAGACCUUCCCCAUCUGGACAAGCAGAGUCCAGAGCAGGUCUAGCCCAACCCUCAGUGAACACUGUAGAGGGAGACAUGAAGCAGAGGAAGACUCGGUGAGAGCCAGAAAUGUGAUGAAAUACCAACAGAUAAGCUCAGCAAAGCACCUUCACAGUCUUGAUUUCUUAUAAAUAACAAGUGCUCCGUGUGGUGUUGGCCAGGCUAAGCCUCCCUGUGCAUGAAUUCUUUUCAUUCAUUUCUUCAUCUGUUGUGGAAAGAGAUUUGAGUUGCCCAUUUCCCCAAUGAGUUGAGCUCUGUGGUGAAUGAAUCAUUUGUCUAAGUCUCUGACUAGAAAUGACAGUGACAGAAGCAUCCAGGGUUGUCUGACUCCAAAGCCCACCUGAGGUGGGUCUGUCUUCAGUGAUGGGAAGCAGAGCAACCCUGGAAAUGUAUGCUACAGGAUCAUUAGCAUGAUUUAAUAAGCCGUUCCCUUGAGCCAGGAUUGCCAACAGCUCCAUCUGACAUGGCCAUAUGGGUCACCACACUAGGGGAAGAGGCUAACUAUCUCCAGUCUUUGUGGGAAACCCUGUCCUGGCCAGGAAGGGGAAGUUUUAAGUGAUGUAUUAAAAACAGG